CCUACGGGAGGCAGCAGUGGGGAAUAUUGCACAAUGGGCGAAAGCCUGAUGCAGCAACGCCGCGUGAGCGAUGAAGGCCUUCGGGUCGUAAAGCUCUGUCCUCAAGGAAGAUAAUGACGGUACUUGAGGAGGAAGCCCCGGCUAACUACGUGCCAGCAGCCGCGGUAAUACGUAGGGGGCUAGCGUUAUCCGGAAUUACUGG
rnacentral:rRNA from 1 species